GAUCUACCCAGUGAACUUAUUUCUUUGGAGACGAGAGAAACCGCAUCUUCCAGUUGAGAGCACUUAUCUCCUGGAUCUUCACCAUCCUUGUCCCAUGAGUCUCCUCUGGUGAAGGCUAGCUAAAUAUUUAGCCAUAAAUGAAAUACUUGUGGUGAGUGCCAUGAUUCUUGUCUUGAUUCUAAAACCAAGCUGGACGUUUGAGAAAGAUUUCAUUACCAAUUGUACAUAGACAAUUACUGCAGUGGUUACUCUGUGGACAGGAAAUUAUGGUUUUUCUCGGAAAGCAGAAUCAAGUUAAUAAUUAUCGUUCUUUAUCAUGUACAUACAUACAUGUAAUACGUACCUAAAUACAAACACGUACAUACAAGAUAUAGGUACAUACAUACAUAUGUAUCUACAUUUGCAGGUUUAUCUUUAUACAUUCCUUACUGGAUGAACUUUCCACGAAACUCAUUUCGCUAACACUAGCAAUGUUUUUAGAUGUUUUGUAACAUUUAAUUAAUUUGACAUUAAGCAAUGCACAAUUAAGUCACGGGUAGCAGAUGUAUGUAUAUAAGUGCAUUUAUACACAUGUGUCCAUGUACAUCUCUAUUUGCUUGUAUAUGUGAUUAUUUGGGAAUUGUCGUCUGCGGGUCAACAGGACCUAACAAUUUUUAUCUAUUAACGAUCAGAAUUAAUAAAAUUAAACAACUCAGAGCAAAUUUUCUAGGUUUAAUUUGUUGCAAAAUGUUGUAAACUCGUUUACCUAUCAUUCUUACUUACAAAAAUAUAAUCUAUUGAGAUCACUUACUUUACAAAUUAGACAUUAGAACGGCAAGUAAGAGUUUAAAGUUACUGAAAUUUAUUUAUCUAAAUAUCUGUAAUGAUUGUGUACAGCAUGGUACGAAAUGUUGAUCCUGAUAACUUUCUCCGACGAAUAUAUUUACAUGUAGAACAAUUAUUCGUAUUUCUUAAAUUAUCUCUAAAGGUUGAAUGACAUAUACGAAAAUAUGAGUUACUAAGUUUGAGAUUAGUAAUAAAAUGCCACGAAA